UACGGAGGGUGCAACCGUUGCUCGGAAUCAUUGGGCGUAAAGCGCACGUAGGUGGCCUGUUAAGUCGGGUGUGAAAUCCCUGGGCUCAACCCAGGAAGUGCACUCGAAACUGGCGGGCUUGAGUACUGAAGAGGGUCGCGGAAUUCCCGGUGUAGAGGUGAAAUUCGUAGAUAUCGGGAGGAACACCAGUGGCGAAGGCGGCGACCUGGGCAGAUACUGACACUGAGGUGCGAAAGCGUGGGGAGCAAACAGG
rnacentral:rRNA from 1 species